rnacentral:rRNA from 2 species
GUGCGAGACCGAUAGCGAACAAGUACCGUGAGGAAAAGAUGAAAAGAACUUUGAAAAGAGAGUUAAAGAGUACCUGAAACUGCUGAAAGGGAAGCGAAUCGUAUCCAGUGUCUAUAAUCUGCGGCAUAUUUCAUUGGCGGCAGUGUGCGUGCUUUUGCGUCGGAAGCGGCUUUUGUUGCUCUGUGCUUUUGCUGUGCGUGCUGUUGCUGGUGCCCUGUGUUGCGGUGGGACGUCAGAGUCAGUUCGUAUGCUGCGGGAAAUGGCCGCCGAGGAGGUAGGUCAGGACUUCGGUCUUGGCUGUUAUAUCUUGGUGGUUUGUUGUCGUGGUUGGGACUGAGGUGCCUACAAUGUGCUUUUGAGUGUGCCGGGUUCUCAUUUGGUGGACUGUUUGGAUAGCUUGCUAUGCUUGUGGUUUUUUCAUCGAGUGAUUGAGUCUGGUGGUAACUUGUUGCUGUUCGGGACUUUG